UUGUGUUCUCGUCUGUUUUGUUCCGGGAAAUUCGUCGCGCACGCCAGUGCCUCAAGCAAUGAGAUGGCCAAAUUCUGUGUUUAAUGGGGUGCUGUCAGCUCUGGUCCUGGAGCAGCCGCCACAAACCUGCUGGCUUUCUGACGGCUGCUGCAGGUCACUGAAGGGGUCGAUGAUGUCAUCGAUGACA